UACGUAGGGUGCGAGCGUUGUCCGGAAUUAUUGGGCGUAAAGGGCUCGUAGGCGGUUUGUCGCGUCGGGAGUGAAAUCCACUGGCUUAACUGGUGGCUUGCUUUCGAUACGGGCAGACUGGAGGUAUGCAGGGGAGAACGGAAUUCCUGGUGUAGCGGUGAAAUGCGCAGAUAUCAGGAGGAACACCGGUGGCGAAGGCGGAUCUCUGGGACGGUACUGACGCUGAGACGCGAAAGCGUGGGGAGCGAACAGG
rnacentral:rRNA from 1 species